UAGAGUUUGAUCCUGGCUCAGGACGAACGCUGGCGGCGCGCCUAACACAUGCAAGUCGAACGAGAGAUGAGGAGCUUGCUCUUCAAAUCGAGUGGCGAACGGGUGAGUAACGCGUGAGGAACCUGCCUCAAAGAGGGGGACAACAGUUGGAAACGACUGCUAAUACCGCAUAAGCCCACGGCUCGGCAUCGAGCAGGGGGAAAAGGAGCAAUCCGCUUUGAGAUGGCCUCGCGUCCGAUUAGCUAGUUGGUGAGGUAACGGCCCACCAAGGCGACGAUCGGUAGCCGGACUGAGAGGUUGAACGGCCACAUUGGGACUGAGACACGGCCCAGACUCCUACGGGAGGCAGCAGUGGGGAAUAUUGCACAAUGGGGGAAACCCUGAUGCAGCGACGCCGCGUGGAGGAAGAAGGUCUUCGGAUUGUAAACUCCUGUUGUUGAGGAAGAUAAUGACGGUACUCAACAAGGAAGUGACGGCUAACUACGUGCCAGCAGCCGCGGUAAAACGUAGGUCACAAGCGUUGUCCGGAAUUACUGGGUGUAAAGGGAGCGCAGGCGGGCCAGCAAGUUGGAAGUGAAAUCCAUGGGCUCAACCCAUGAAUUGCUUUCAAAACUGUUUUCCUUGAGUAGUGCAGAGGUAGGUGGAAUUCCCGGUGUAGCGGUGGAAUGCGUAGAUAUCGGGAGGAACACCAGUGGCGAAGGCGACCUACUGGGCACCAACUGACGCUGAGGCUCGAAAGCAUGGGUAGCAAACAGGAUUAGAUACCCUGGUAGUCCACGCCGUAAACGAUGAUUACUAGGUGUUGGAGGAUUGACCCCUUCAGUGCCGCAGUUAACACAAUAAGUAAUCCACCUGGGGAGUCCGACCGCAAGG
rnacentral:rRNA from 1 species